rnacentral:rRNA from 1 species
UACGUAGGGGGCUAGCGUUGUCCGGAAUCAUUGGGCGUAAAGCGCGUGUAGGCGGCCCGCUAAGUCCGCUGUGAAAGUCCAGGGCUCAACCCUGGGAUGCCGGUGGAUACUGUCGGGCUCGAGUCCGGAAGAGGCGAGUGGAAUUCCUGGUGUAGCGGUGAAAUGCGCAGAUAUCGGGAGGAACACCAAUGGCGAAGGCAGCUCGCUGGGACGUGACUGACGCUGAGACGCGAAAGCGUGGGGAGCAAACAGG